rnacentral:lncRNA from 1 species
UUAUCAUGGCCUGCGUGCCUUAUGUAUUUUGGCCUUCGGGCGUUGUAAUAUGGCCUUCGGGCGUACUUGGCUUCGGCCGCCUUUGUCGUUUCUAAUGUAUGAAUAUUUUUGUUACCGUUCAUUGUGCUCGUUUGUGUUUGAUAUUUGUUUGCAUGAAUUCGUACUCUGCUCGACUUUGUUAAUCUCCUCGGUUUAGGGAACCGAC